rnacentral:rRNA from 1 species
GAUGAACGCUGGCGGCGUGCCUAAUACAUGCAAGUCGAGCGAACAGACGAGGAGCUUGCUCCUCUGACGUUAGCGGCGGACGGGUGAGUAACACGUGGAUAACCUACCUAUAAGACUGGGAUAACUUCGGGAAACCGGAGCUAAUACCGGAUAAUAUAUUGAACCGCAUGGUUCAAUAGUGAAAGACGGUUUUGCUGUCACUUAUAGAUGGAUCCGCGCCGCAUUAGCUAGUUGGUAAGGUAACGGCUUACCAAGGCGACGAUGCGUAGCCGACCUGAGAGGGUGAUCGGCCACACUGGAAGUGAGACACGUUCCAGACUCCUACGGGAGGCAGCAGUAGGGAAUCUUCCGCGAAGGGCGAAAGCCUGACGGAGCAACGCCGCGUGAGUGAUGAAGGUCUUCGGAUCGUAGAACUCUGUUAUUAGGGAAGAACAAAUGUGUAAGUAACUAUGCACGUCUUGACGGUACCUAAUCAGAAAGCCCCGGCUAACUACGUG